rnacentral:rRNA from 1 species
UACACUCCUGCGGGAGGCAGCAGUGGGGAAUAUUGGCCAAUGGGCGCAAGCCUGAUCCAGCCAUGCCGCGUGAGUGAUGAAGGCCCUAGGGUUGUAAAGCUCUUUCACCGGUGAAGAUAAUGACGGUAACCGGAGAAGAAGCCCCGGCUAACUUCGUGCCAGCAGCCGCGGUAAUACGAAGGGGGCUAGCGUUGUUCGGAUUUACUGGGCGUAAAGCGCACGUAGGCGGACUAUUAAGUCAGGGGUGAAAUCCCGGGGCUCAACCCCGGAACUGCCUUUGAUACUGGUAGUCUUGAGUUCGAGAGAGGUGAGUGGAAUUCCGAGUGUAGAGGUGAAAUUCGUAGAUAUUCGGAGGAACACCAGUGGCGAAGGCGGCUCACUGGCUCGAUACUGACGCUGAGGUGCGAAAGCGUGGGGAGCAAACAGGAUUAGAAACCCUGGUAGUCCCA